rnacentral:rRNA from 1 species
UACGAGGGGUGCAAGCGUUGCUCGGAAUUAUUGGGCGUAAAGGGUUGGUAGGCGGUCUUGUUUGUCUAGGGUGAAAUCCCAUGGCUUAACUGUGGAAGUGCCCUAGAAACGGCAAGACUAGAGUCCUAGAGGGGUUUGUGGAAUUCCCGGUGUAGCGGUGAAAUGCGUAGAGAUCGGGAGGAACACCAGCGGCGAAGGCGGCAAACUGGAUAGGCACUGACACUCAACAACGAAAGCGUGGGGAGCAAACAGG